GAUGAACGCUGGCGGCGUGCCUAAUACAUGCAAGUCGAGCGAACAGACGAGGAGCUUGCUCCUCUGACUUUAGCGGCGGACGGGUGAGUAACACGUGGAUAACCUACCUAUAAGACUGGGAUAACUUCGUGAAACCGGAGCUAAUACCGGAUAAUAUAUUGAACCGCAUGGUUCAAUAGUGAAAGACGGUUUUGCUGUCACUUAUAGAUGGAUCCGCGCCGCAGUAGAUAGUUGGUAAGGUAACGGCUUACCAAGGCGACGAUGCGUAGCCGACCUGAGGGGGUGAUCGGCCACACUGGAACUGAGACACGGUCCAGACUCCUAAGGGAGGCAGCAGUAGGGAAUCUUCCGCAAUGGGCGAAAGCCUGACGGAGCAACGCCGCGUGAGUGAUGAAGGUCUUCGGAUCGUAAAACUCUGUUAUUAGGGAAGAGCAAAUGUGUAAGUAACUAUGCACGUCUUGACGGUACCUAAUCAGAAAGCCACGGCUAACUACGUG
rnacentral:rRNA from 1 species